GUCUGGUGGCAGCGAGGCGAGAGGUCCAAAAAUCAGAGUCCAUUUUCUCUUUAAAAAUAAAAGAUUUUGAGCGGGUUUUGAAGCUCUUCUAUAUUGUAAAUACACACAUAUAUCUUUUGAUCAUCUCAAAAAUAAAUUAUAAUAACAGUUUAAGAUAAAGAAACCAAUGAAAAGGAAUAGAAAGAGAUGUUUUAUCUGUCUG
rnacentral:misc_RNA from 1 species